UACGUAGGGUGCGAGCGUUGUCCGGAAUUAUUGGGCGUAAAGGGCUCGUAGGCGGUCUGUCGCGUCGGGAGUGAAAACUCAGGGCUUAACCCUGAGCCUGCUUCCGAUACGGGCAGACUAGAGGUAUGCAGGGGAGAACGGAAUUCCUGGUGUAGCGGUGGAAUGCGCAGAUAUCAGGAGGAAUACCGAUGGCGAAGGCAGGUCUCUGGGCUAUAACUGACGCUCAUGCACGAAAGCGUGGGGAGCAAACAGG
rnacentral:rRNA from 1 species